AUUGAACGCUGGCGGAAUGCCUUACACAUGCAAGUCGAACGGCAGCACGGGGGCAGCCCUGGUGGCGAGUGGCGAACGGGUGAGUAAUACAUCGGAACGUGCCCGGUCGUGGGGGAUAACGUAGCGAAAGUUACGCCAAUACCGCAUACGAUCUGAGGAUGAAAGCGGGGGACCUUCGGGCCUCGCGCGAUCGGAGCGGCCGAUGUCAGAUUAGGUAGUUGGUGGGGUAAAGGCCUACCAAGCCGACGAUCUGUAGCUGGUCUGAGAGGACGACCAGCCACACUGGGACUGAGACACGGCCCAGACUCCUACGGGAGGCAGCAGUGGGGAAUUUUGGACAAUGGGCGCAAGCCUGAUCCAGCCAUUCCGCGUGCAGGACGAAGGCCUUCGGGUUGUAAACUGCUUUUGUACGGAACGAAAAGGCUCUGGCUAAUACCUGGGGCUCAUGACGGUACCGUAAGAAUAAGCACCGGCUAACUACGUG
rnacentral:rRNA from 1 species